AUGAGUUUGAUGAGUACUCAGCAAAUGGCACAAUAUAUUGAACAAGCUAGGUUUCGUCGGAGCAAGUCAACGAAAAAAAUGAGAAUGUUACGUAUUACUUUUCCAGGAUGAAUAGGAAAAUAAUUUGUUAUAUUACUUGAAGUGGAAUGCACCAUGUUCAGCUGUCAUGAUCUGUACAAACGAAUUUUUCUCCCAUUUUAUUAUUUUCCGAGAACGAAAGUCAAGUGCCUCAUGUCAUCUUGACAUCCAUCACAAUAAGAUGGCUUAUGCUUUUUGUGAGAGAAAUGGUACAUUUGCAGAAGUUUGUUUUAUAUGGCGUGAACUCCGAACCAUCCUUCUUGUUGAAGGCUAAUAAAUUGUUCCUCCCCAUACACUCAGAAACUCCAUUGCAGUUAUAACUAAGAACAUGCCACAAAAACUUCCCUUCAUACGAGUAUGGAGAUUACAGAGCUGAAGAAUGAUGAAUUAUAUGAGUAGUUUUGAGCAAUUUCAAUAUAAAUUCAGUGGAUUGAAAAUCUAUAUUCAAUAUUGGAAUUAAUUCUGGAAAUAAGGGCUUGUCAGCUUUUCUUAGAGGUCAUUUAUCAUCAGAAGAUCCAGCGACAGUGAAACAUAGAGGUGAUUAUCCCUCUUCUUCAUCGUUGAAUCAAACGUUUAACCUCCGCUAAACCAACGGUAGGGUUAAAUGAAACGCCAUCGCUGUAUAAUUCAAUGAAUUGCUGUCCUUAUCCCUUGAACCUCCUUUCAAGAAAAUGAAGCAAAAAAUGAGGUUAUGGAGUUGUUACCGAUAUAUUUAUAAGACAAAGUUGGACAGCCAUAAAAUGAGGAAAGUAUUGAAUCAGUUUCGUUUGAGCGUUUGAUGCGCAAAGUUCGCCCUUGAAGACUACA